GAUGAACGCUAGCUACAGGCUUAACACAUGCAAGUCGAGGGGCAGCUUCAGUUUGCUUGCAAACUGGAGAUGGCGACCGGCGCACGGGUGAGUAACACGUAUCCAACCUGCCGAUAACUCGGGGAUAGCCUUUCGAAAGAAAGAUUAAUACCCGAUGGCAUAAUUAGACCGCAUGGUCUUAUUAUUAAAGAAUUUCGGUUAUCGAUGGGGAUGCGUUCCAUUAGGCAGUUGGUGAGGUAACGGCUCACCAAACCUUCGAUGGAUAGGGGUUCUGAGAGGAAGGUCCCCCACAUUGGAACUGAGACACGGUCCAAACUCCUACGGGAGGCAGCAGUGAGGAAUAUUGGUCAAUGGGCGCAGGCCUGAACCAGCCAAGUAGCGUGAAGGAUGACUGCCCUAUGGGUUGUAAACUUCUUUUAUAUGGGAAUAAAGUUUUCCACGUGUGGAAUUUUGUAUGUACCAUAUGAAUAAGGAUCGGCUAACUCCGUGCCAGCAGCCGCGGUAAUACGGAGGAUCCGAGCGUUAUCCGGAUUUAUUGGGUUUAAAGGGAGCGUAGGUGGACAGUUAAGUCAGUUGUGAAAGUUUGCGGCUCAACCGUAAAAUUGCAGUUGAUACUGGCUGUCUUGAGUACAGUAGAGGUGGGCGGAAUUCGUGGUGUAGCGGUGAAAUGCUUAGAUAUCACGAAGAACUCCGAUUGCGAAGGCAGCUCACUGGACUGCAACUGACACUGAUGCUCGAAAGUGUGGGUAUCAAACAGGAUUAGAUACCCUGGUAGUCCACACAGUAAACGAUGAAUACUCGCUGUUUGCGAUAUACAGUAAGCGGCCAAGCGAAAGCAUUAAGUAUUCCACCUGGGGAGUACGCCGGCAACGGUGAAACUCAAAGGAAUUGACGGGGGCCCGCACAAGCGGAGGAACAUGUGGUUUAAUUCGAUGAUACGCGAGGAACCUUACCCGGGCUUAAAUUGCAUUUGAAUAUAUUGGAAACAGUAUAGCCGUAAGGCAAAUGUGAAGGUGCUGCAUGGUUGUCGUCAGCUCGUGCCGUGAGGUGUCGGCUUAAGUGCCAUAACGAGCGCAACCCUUAUCUUUAGUUACUAACAGGUCAUGCUGAGGACUCUAGAGAGACUGCCGUCGUAAGAUGUGAGGAAGGUGGGGAUGACGUCAAAUCAGCACGGCCCUUACGUCCGGGGCUACACACGUGUUACAAUGGGGGGUACAGAAGGCAGCUACCUGGUGACAGGAUGCUAAUCCCAAAAGCCUCUCUCAGUUCGGAUCGAAGUCUGCAACCCGACUUCGUGAAGCUGGAUUCGCUAGUAAUCGCGCAUCAGCCAUGGCGCGGUGAAUACGUUCCCGGGCCU
rnacentral:rRNA from 1 species